AGUUUUAAUCUAGUUUGUGUGUGUGUGUGUGUGUGUGUGUGUGUGUAUAUAUAUACACACACACACACACACACACACACAUACAUACAUACA